rnacentral:lncRNA from 1 species
CCUUGAGCCACCAACACCGCAUGAACCGGCCAUGACUCAUGAGCCCAAACACCGCCGGACCUUCCAAGUUAAUUCGGGGUCAUUCGAUGCCUGCCAUUGGCCAUUGUUGAAAACCCAUCCUUAAUGAUCCUUAAAUGCCUUGAUCUCACAAAAAUAACCUCCCCCAUUAAUGGAUGGUUUCCAACCAGACACCCUCUUAAACUCCCAAAAGAAGAAAAUAUAUACCUCGUUUCAUUAGCAA